UACGAAGGGGCUAGCGUUGCUCGGAAUCACUGGGCGUAAAGCGCACGUAGGCGGAUUGCUAAGUCAGGGGUGAAAUCCUGGAGCUCAACUCCAGAACUGCCUUUGAUACUGGGAGCUCGAGUCCGGGAGAGGUGAGUGGAACUCCGAGUGUAGAGGUGAAAUUCGUAGAUAUUCGGAAGAAACACCAGUGGCGAAGGCGGCUCACUGGCCC
rnacentral:rRNA from 1 species